CACUGGCAUCUGGCACUGGGGUUCCUACAUGUAAACAGUGGCUGGCAGGGCCUGGACCCACAACCCCGCCUCUGCAGUCACAGUGAAGUCUUCC
ensembl:miRNA